CAUAGAUUACUUAUCAUAAUUCAUAAAUCACAAUUCGCAAUUUUUUAAUUCCCAAAUGAAUAAAUCAUAACAUAUUUAACAUUAACUUAAGUCACUGACCAUAGCCAUGUUAACACAACUAAAUGAAAUCCCAUACCUUUCAAUUUUUAUUUUUUUAUUUUUUUUACAAGAUUUCACUUUCCAUAACUUUAGUAGUUAGCACCCUGAGCAUAUUUGUAUUCCAUAGGACCACAGCAGCAGAUUCUCUAAAAUAAAAAAAUUAUUUUAUAUCAGACAUUGUGAAAAUUAAAUUUUCCUUUAGGCUUUAGCAGUUAGCACGUACAAUAAAAUAAUGCCCAAUUACCAAACAGAUAAUAAAAGUAAAUUUAGCAGUUAGCACACACAAAUUACAAUACAAGAAAACUAAAUUUGCCAAUUUAGCACUUAGCACAUACAAACAAGUGCGGGACGAACUGACAAAGGAAGAAGUGUCUCGUCACUCCUGUGCAAGGCAGGGGCGAACCAGUGGUCCAACAUCGCCGUGUCUCGUGUGUAGGGCAAGGGCGAACCGACGAAGGAAGAAGCGAAGAAAUUGGAAAAGGGUUUUUGCAAUCUGGCUUCCCUCUUCCAACCUUCCACGAUUUGGGAAAUGGGAGUUGAUUUGGGCAUUUCAGAAUUCUG
rnacentral:lncRNA from 1 species